CCUUCCUGCCUCUCCCAGCUUCUAGGGGCUCUUGACGUGGCUUGUGGCCACCUCACACCCGCCUCUGCCUCUGUCGCCAUGCCACCUCCUCCCUUGUGUCUGGGUCUCGCCUCUCCCCUUGUCAGAACACCCAGAUAAUCCAGGAUGGCCUCAUCCCGAGCUCCUUAACUCAGUUCCAUGUGAAGACCCACAGCAGCCUCUCCCCACCCAGCCCUGCCAUCCUCCCCUCUUCCAGGUUCAUCUCUGGCAGGCAGCCAUGCAGCAGGGAAGCGUGGAUCUGGGGAGCAGGCUCCGGCAGGUCAGGAGGACCCCAGCAGGGGUGAGUGGGAUACAGACAGCCCCUGGUGGCCAUCCAUGAGGAGACUGUGAGCCUAGGGGAGGGUGCUCUGCUGAGUGCUGAAGGGUCCAAAGGGCCACCUAACCGGGAGGACCGUGGCCGUGGGAGACUCUGUGGAGACCACUGCCUCAUCUGAGAGACAACAGUCUAGGGUGGUUCAAGGUGAAAUGUAAAAGCCAGGGGGCUUCCAGGCACCGUUUCAGGAAACCCCAACCUCCUACAGCCAGGGUUGGAGGGAGGCCAAGACCCAGAAGGCUGGACUCUCAGCAGGGCAGCAUCCCGUGGCAAGGCCAGAGCCAGAAAGAACAGGACUGGAGAUGCAGGAGACCAAGCAGCCCUUCCUGCUGGAAGACCCCCACAGUGACCUCUAACAUGAGACUUGCCUCCCAGGAUCUCCCUGGCUCCCCUUGUGGGACCAAACCAACCACAAGGGCAGGUCCCCACACUCUCCAGGGAGGCGCUGGGCUGGCUCAAAUCCCAGCAGGAUUUGGCCAACAGGGUCCAGGAAGGAGCUCGGGAUCCAUCCCUAGGCUGCCAGAUCCAGGGACGAGAAAGCGGGAGGGGAUCAACAGGAACUCACUCUCCUAAGACCAGGCUUUAACACCCUGGCAAGAACUUUGAGGGGCCACGGGCACCUAUGGUCUGCCAGGGCGGCUCUCGGAAGCUUUGCGGGGGCAGUGGAGCGGGGGCGGCCUGAGUCAACGCUGUGGCCCCACGGUGUGCAGCUGGAGGAAGGUCCUGUAUAUGGCUGGCACUGCUGGGGGGCACAGGUGAAGGCACAGAGCUCUCACAGGGAUGCGUGUCUGUGGCACUUCCACUGCCGUGCCCUCCUCUGCUAUUGAAGGCGGUGCUCUGCAGCUACACAGAACCUCAGGGGUCGUCUCAGUACAGGGGCUCUGGCCUGUGGGGUCCUCAGUGCUCAUGAAAGGCUGGGCUCAUGGAACUGGCUGGCAUGAAUGACUCUGGCCCUUUCUGCUCCUGAGAAACCCUCUCUUUUCAGGCAGUCUCUGUCCUUUCCGCCUGGCUCAGUCCCCUCUCCGUGAGGACACCUCUCCCUCAAGCCUCUGAGCGCCCCGAAUUGAGGCGGGCUGCUGCUGCAAUCUCCCGAAGCCCGGCCUGCCCCAGUGCAGACACUCUCUGUGGGUCUCCUGCUGUGAGCAGGGGCCUCGGGGGACCCCGAAUCCUCAGGGCGGAGCCCAUCACGGCACUUCCCUUGGAGAGAAGCUGGCAGAGGACAGCCAGAGUUCAGGAAGAAGCAAAUGCAGCCCGAUUCCCCUCUGUGCAAAUGCCUGCCCUCCCAGGCGGCUGGCUGGUGCACUCACCCUUUCAGUGCAUUAUUAAUGCCUGCAGCCCCAAACUAACAUGUCUCAAUAAUUAUCAAUACACGGGAUGUCGGGGAUGAGAACUCAGCAUCUGCGUCCCAGAAAAGCCCUCAUCCAGUCGGUCCUCAAUGAUGAGGCUGACAGCAGACAACUCAGCUUUUAGCUUUAGUGGGAACCACAACGUUUACUGCUCCUCCUUGGGUGGGUACUGAGUGUCACAUGGCUGCAGGAGACACGCCCACAGCCCCUCCGCAGAGCCCUGGUGGACAGCCUGGCUGUGCUCUGGCCCUCUGCAUCCAUUUGCAAUGUGACGCACCCCCAGCUCCAUGCGUGUGGGAAGU